rnacentral:rRNA from 1 species
UGACGGGUAGCCGGCCUGAGAGGGCGACCGGCCACAUUGGGACUGAGAUACGGCCCAGACUCCUACGGGAGGCAGCAGUGGGGAAUAUCCACAAUGGGCGCAAGCCUGAUGCAGCGACGCCGCGUGCGGGAUGACGGCCUUCGGGUUGUAAACCGCUUUUGACUGGGAGCAAGCCCUUCGGGGUGAGUGUACCUUUCGAAUAAGCACCGGCUAACUACGUGCCAGCAGCCGCGGUAAUACGUAGGGUGCAAGCGUUAUCCGGAAUUAUUGGGCGUAAAGGGCUCGUAGGCGGUUCGUCGCGUCCGGUGUGAAAGUCCAUCGCUUAACGGUGGAUCCGCGCCGGGUACGGGCGGGCUUGAGUGCGGUAGGGGAGACUGGAAUUCCCGGUGUAACGGUGGAAUGUGUAGAUAUCGGGAAGAACACCAAUGGCGAAGGCAGGUCUCUGGGCCGUCACUGACGCUGAGGAGCGAAAGCGUGGGGAGCGAACAGGAUUAGAUACCCUGGUAGUCCACGCCGUAAACGGUGGAUGCUGGAUGUGGGGACCAUUCCACGGUCUCCGUGUCGGAGCCAACGCGUUAAGCAUCCCGCCUGGGGAGUACGGCCGCAAGGCUAAAACUCAAAGAAAUUGACGGGGGCCCGCACAAGCGGCGGAGCAUGCGGAUUAAUUCGAUGCAACGCGAAGAACCUUACCUGGGCUUGACAUGUUCCCGACAGCCCCAGAGAUGGGGCCUCCCUUCGGGGCGGGUUCACAGGUGGUGCAUGGUCGUCGUCAGCUCGUGUCGUGAGAUGUUGGGUUAAGUCCCGCAACGAGCGCAACCCUCGCCCUGUGUUGCCAGCACGUCGUGGUGGGAACUCACGGGGGACCGCCGGGGUCAACUCGGAGGAAGGUGGGGAUGACGUCAGAUCAUCAUGCCCCUUACGUCCAGGGCUUCACGCAUGCUACAAUGGCCGGUACAACGGGAUGCGACCUCGCGAGGGGGAGCGGAUCCCUUAAAACCGGUCUCAGUUCGGAUUGGAGUCUGCAACCCGACUCCAUGAAGGCGGAGUCGCUAGUAAUCGCGGAUCAGCAACGCCGCGGUGAAUGCGUUCCCGGGCCUUGUACACACCGCCCGUCAAGUCAUGAAAGUGGGUAGCACCCGAAGCCGGUGGCCCAACCUUUUGGGGGGAGCCGUCUAAGGUGAGACUCGUGAUUGGGACUAAGUCGAAACAAGGUAGCCGUACCGGAAGGUGCGGCUG